rnacentral:rRNA from 1 species
CCGGCGCACGGGUGAGUGACACGUAUGCAACCUGGCCGUCACAGGUGGAUAACCGGAAGAAAUUCCGACUAAUACAGCAUAACACUCCUGAGGGACAUCCUUCGGGAGUCAAAGGAGGCAACUCCGGUGACGGAUGGGCAUGCGGCGCAUUAGGUAGUUGGUAGGGUAACGGCCUACCAAGCCGACGAUGCGUAGGGGUUCUGAGAGGAAGGUCCCCCACAUUGGAACUGAGACACGGUCCAAACUCCUACGGAAGGCAGCAG